rnacentral:rRNA from 1 species
UCGAGAAUCUUUCUCAAUGGGGGCAACCCUGAAGGAGCGACGCCGCGUGGGGGAUGAAGGGCUUCGGCUCGUAAACCCCUGUCAUUUGUGAGCAGGUGUGAUUGUUUAAGAGAUGGUUACAUAGAUAGUAGCAAAAGAGGAAGGGACGGCUAACUCUGUGCCAGCAGCCGCGGUAAUACAGAGGUCCCAAGCGUUGUUCGGAAUCACUGGGCGUAAAGGGUGCGUAGGCGGUAGUGUAAGACUUAGGUGAAAUCUCCAUGCUUAACGUGGAGCUCGCCUGGGAGACUGCAUUACUUGAGGAUUGGAGGGGAGACUGGAAUUCUUGGAGUAGCAGUGAAAUGCGUAGAUAUCAAGAGGAAGACCAGUGGCGAAGGCGAGUCUCUGGACAAUACCUGACGCUGAGGCACGAAGGCCAGGGGAUCAAACGGG